UCCCCUUUCCUCUUCCGCUUCCCCUCCCCUUGGGUUGCAAUGCAGUGCCAUUGCCAGGUACCCUCCUUUAUAUUCUCUCUAGUCUACCCAAUUUUAUCUAUUCGAUGAUUCUGAUUUUUGUUAUCUAUCUUUCUUUUUUUUCAAUCUCUUAGCAAAUUUGCGUGAUCGAUCCAAGAAUUAUUUAUCCUGUUUAAGCAGUACAACUAGUGAAGUAGAAAUUUGCAGAUUGCCCCUAUUAUCACCCUCAUUGAUAUGCAUUUCUUUUGAGUUGACCUCCGUUCUUGUUUUUAUUUUAAUCUUUUAAUUCUUUUUCUUGAUGUUCUCGUUUUACUGUAGUUGAUUUGGGUAAAUGUUAUGGUUAGGCUUGAGUGGUGUAAUCCCUACCCAGAAAUCAACAUUUCCUGUAGUCCUUAUAUAAUUGAAGAGUAGAAAGGAACGAACAGAGCAUCCUUGGUUUUAGUCUUACAGAUUCUUGUCAAAUGCCCAUUGACACGCUGCCAUCCAUAACCUAAAGUAUGAGAGCAAGUAGGUCUUCCUUUAGCACUAGCGAUGGGCAUGAAGAAGUUCAUUUUCACAGUGCUGCUUAUAUUUCAAAUUGGGACGAUUAUGAUAUAUGAGCAAAUAAACCUAUGAUAUUUUCUGACCAAUUGUGAUUGUAUAACAUUUUCAUGUGUGUUUUAUUGUGCACUAAUUGGCUUGUAAGAUUGGUUUAUAUGAUGCAAAGUAAUUGAACCUUUGUCUAUUCAGUUGAAGAAUAAUCUUUCACAAAGUGAUGUAUACAAGAUGGCUGAUUAGGUUGUGAAAAGUUAUAUCGACUUUGUUCACUUGUAAUCUUGGUUUACAUGUUCAUAGGUUAGAGAAUUUGUAUUCUGAAGCAUAGGGUUUUGUGAGGAGUAAUGUAAUUUUGUUACAGGCUUUAUUAAUAUAGAUGUAAUGUAAUUCAGCUGAUGCCAAAGAAGAUGGUUCAAAUUUGAGCUGGUUUUGCAUCUUCAUUUUAAUUCUGUUGGCAAUAAUAGAUGGUCCCGUUUACCCAUUUUCAAAUAGAAUGGAAGGUUAUUUGACCCUUUUUCAAAAAAAAUUAUUUUUUCUCUAAUUGAUAUGGAAUCUUUUACUGUGCAUUUUUCGAAUGAAGAACAAGCAGAGCCAUUACCAAAGAAGCAUAGGAAAUACUAAGGCCAUUGAAGUUGGGAUUUUAAGUAUGCCAUCUUUCAUUGGUCACUUACAGCAAGAUGAUGAUGCUAAUAUGGAAAUGCUCCUUUGCUUGUUGAUACAACCUGUGUAUUAAUGGAUUUUUGUAAAUUUUUUCCCUUUUCCUUGUGCAAGUGCCUUGUGUAACAUGUUUAUAUUUAUGUAUGUAUAUGUACAUGUAAAAAAAAAUUGUGAAUUCCGUCAUAAUGUUGUAGUUUGAUUUACACAUUUUGUUUAGUGAAUUUAGCUAAACAAUUAAAUGAAAAGAAAGUCAAAUAUAUGUUUGUUUCAUUUAAAAUAACUUUUUUGAAAUAUUUUCAAGAAAGUGAAUUUAGCUAAACAAUUAAAAGACAAGAAAAAUUCAAAUGUAUGUUUGUUUCGUUUAUAAUAGCUUUUUUGAAAUAUUUCCAGAGAAUCUACCAAACAACAGAAAAUAU
rnacentral:lncRNA from 1 species